rnacentral:rRNA from 1 species
GAUCCUGGCUCAGACGAACGCUGGCGGCGCGCCUAAUACAUGCAAGUCGAGCGAGAAGGUGUAGCAAUACACUGGGUACAGCGGCGAACGGGUGAGGAAUACAUGGGUAACCUACCCUCGAGUGGGGAAUAACUAGCCGAAAGGUUAGCUAAUACCGCAUACGAUUCCCGGAUUGCGGUCCGGGAAAGAAAGCCAUCCCGUGGGGAUGGCGCUCCUGGAUGGGCUCAUGUCCUAUCAGCUUGUUGGUGAGGUAACGGCUCACCAAGGCUUCGACGGGUAGCUGGUCUGAGAGGACGAUCAGCCACACUGGCACUGCGACACGGGCCAGACUCC